GAUGAACGCUGGCGGCGUGCCUAAUACAUGCGAGUCGAGCGAACGGACGCGAAGCUUGCUUCUCUGUUGUUAGCGGCGGACGGGUGUGUAACACGUGGAUACCCUACCUAUAAGACUGGGAUAUCUUCGGGACACCGGCGCUAAUACCGUAUAAUCUUUUGAACCGCAUGGUUCAAAAGUGAAAGACGGUCUUGCUGUCACUUAUAGAUGGAUACGCGCUGCAGUAGCUAGUUGGUAAGGUAACGGCUUACCAAGGCAACGAUGCCUGGCCGACGUGAGAGGGGGAUCGGCCACACUGGAACUGAGACACGGUCCAGACGCCUACGGGAGGCAGCAGUAGGGAAUCGGCCGCAAUGGGCGAAAGCCUGACGGAGCAACGCCGCGUGAGUGAUGAAGGUCUUCGGAUCGGAAAACUCUGUUAUUAGGGAAGAACAUAUGUGGAAGUAACUGUGCACAUCGUGACGGUACCGAAUCAGAAAGCCACGGCUAACUACGUG
rnacentral:rRNA from 1 species